CUGGCCUCAAUCAGGACCGAGACAUCUGUGAUCGACUAGCUCUGCCUGGCCUCAAUCAGGACCGAGACAUCAUCUGUGAUCGGCUAGCUCUGCCUGGCCUCAAUCGGGACCGAGACAUCGUCUGUGAUCGGCUAGCACUGCCUGGCCAGCCAGGACAAUCGUGGAAUCUUUUCUUAAUUGGAUUUGCUCAACUCCUACGUCCUCUCGCCUCCUUUUGUAAAAGGUCAAAGGGUAAUCAAGAGGCUUCGAGGAGAGGGAACAUGGGACGAAAAUGCGCUUGUAUGAAACGAGACUCCUAGUCCACUCGCACGUCAUCAGGCAAAUCACUUGGAUCCCAAUUCAAAUAUGCAAAGUGAUCAGAACAAAUGAUGCUAGUUGUGAAGUACAUGUUCUAGAUAAAACUAUAAGUAGUAUAUUGUUUUUAAACUGUGACAAAACGAAAGCUGAUUCAAAGGGGAGGGGAUGUUGUUGAUUUCAAAACUCUUCUGUGAAGGACUUUGGUAGGACACACGUGACUGUCCUCCAUGAGAGGUGGCUAUCGAGGAGGGGAGGGACCGUCUUCCGUUUCGCCUGCUAACGAAUUGCCAUCUCCUCGACUACCUAUUGGUUUCUGGGUCACGGAGGAGAGAGAGGGUGGAGGAUGGACUUUUGCCCAAAUGAGAAAAAGGCCCUUUCCAGUGCGUUUAUAUUCAUCUUUAUAUUCAGGUUAUGUCCCAAAUGGCACCCUAUUCCCUACAUAGUGCACUACUUUAGACCCUGGCCUAUAGGGCUCUGUAUAGGAAAUGGGCUGCCAUUACAGACAGACUGUCUGUUCCAUAAACACCUGUAGUUUUAUUAUUUUUUAAAUUGAAAUAAAAGCGAGCAUUUCUUAUUGGAUGUGGUUUGGAGUCUGUUUUCUUCCUGCCUGGUGAAUAAAGAGACGACUGAAGAGAGAGGACUGUCUCUACGGCCAGGAUCACUGUGUACUCUGUAGUGAUAAACACUAUGGUCAGUUUACUCUGUAGUGAUAAACACUAUGGUCAGUUUACUCUGUAGUGAUAAACACUAUGGUCAGUUUACUCUGUAGUGAUAAACACUAUGGUCAGUUUACUCUGUAGUGAUAAACACUAUGGUCAGUUUACUGUGUAGUGAUUAACACUAUGGUCAAUUUACUCUGUAGUGAUAAACACUAUGGUCAGUUUACUCUGUAGUGAUAAACACUAUGGUCAGUUUACUCUGUAGUGAUAAACACUAUGGUCAGUUUACUCUGUAGUGAUAAACACUAUGGUCAGUUUACUCUGUAGUGAUAAACACUAUGGUCAGUUUACUCUGUAGUGAUAAACACUAUGGUCAGUUUACUCUGUAGUGAUAAACACUAUGGUCAGUUUACNNNNNNNNNNNNNNNNNNNNNNNNNNNACACUAUGGUCAGUUUACUCUGUAGUGAUUAACACUAUGGUCAGUUUACUCUGUAGUGAUUAACACUAUGGUCAGUUUACUCUGUAGUGAUUAACACUGGUCAGUUUACUGUGUAGUGAUAAACACUAUGGUCAGUUUACUCUGUAGUGAUUAACACUAUGGUCAGUUUACUCUGUAGUGAUUAACACUAUGGUCAGUUUACCUCAUGUUUCAGCAGGAUAAUGCACAACCACAUUGUUGCAUAAGCUACGGACAACGAACACAGUUGCAUUUUAUUAAUGCCAAUUUGAAUGCACGAAGAUAGAGAUACCGUGAUGAGAUCCUGAGGCCCAUUGUCGUGCCAUUCACCUCAUGUUUCAGCAUGAUAAUGCACGGGCCCCAUGUAACAAGGAUCUGUACACAAUUCCUGGAAGCUGAAAAAGUCCCAGUUUUUCCAUCACCUGCGUACUCACCAGACAUGUCACCACAUUGAGCAUGUUUGGGAUGCUCUGGAUGAACGUGUACGACAACGUGUUCCAGUUCCCGUCAAUAUCCAGCAACUUCACACAGCCAUUGUAGAGGAGUGGGGACAACAUUCCACGGGCCACAAUCAACAGCCUGAUCAACUCUAUGUGAAGGAGAUGUGUCUCGCUGCAUGAGGCCAAUGGUGAUCACACCAGAUACAGACUGGGUUUCUGAUCCACACCCCUACCUUUAUUUUAAAGGUGUCUGUGACCAACAGUUGAAUAUCUGUAUUACUAGUCAUGUGAAAUCUAUAGAUUAGGACCUAAUUAAUUGAUUUAAUUUGACAUCAGUAGGGUAAAAUCACUGGGGAAGCAAAGCCACCCCCAACUGCCAUAUUACAAUCUACUUGAUGAUUGUUGUUUGCUCUCUAACCUGUUAGUUCCUGUGUCUUGACACCCUCAAACUGUUAGUUCCUGUGUCUUGACACCCUCAACCUGUUAGUUCCUGUGUCUUGACACCCUCAACCUGUUAGUUCCUGUGUCUUGACACCAUGAUAUGUAGUCCUGAGGCCGAGACAAUAAGAAGACACAGUGUCAGAAUAAAUUCCAACUUUUUGUUUCAUCACAAAACCGGAGAUGAACCUCUGUCCGAUUUGGUCCACGAAACAUAUUGCAUGUUACAGGUCAAGAAAGGUCAAGAAAGGUCAAGAAAG
rnacentral:lncRNA from 13 species